rnacentral:rRNA from 1 species
AUAGCGUAUAUUAAAGUUGCUGCAGUUAAAAAGCUCGUAGUUGAAUUUCGGGAUCAUCAUGUCGGUCGUGCCUCGGUACGUACUGGCAUUGUUGGUUUCUACCUUCUGACGAACCAUGAUGUCAUUUAUUUGGUGUCGUGGGAAAUCAGGACUGUUACUUUGAAAAAAUUAGAGUGUUUAAAGCAGGCUCACGCUUGAAUACAUUAGCAUGGAAUAAUGAAAUAGGACGUUUGAUUCUAUUUUGUUGGUUUCUAGGAUCGACGUAAUGAUUAAUAGGGAUAGUUGGGGGCAUUAGUAUUCAAUUGUCAGAGGUGAAAUUCUUGGAUUGACUCAAGACCAACUACUG